GCCGGUGUAGCUCAACAGGCAGAGCAAUCGCUUCGUAAGCGAUGGGUCGGUGGUUCAAAUCCACUCACUGGCU
rnacentral:tRNA from 1 species